rnacentral:rRNA from 1 species
UACGUAGGGGGCAAGCGUUGUCCGGAUUCAUUGGGCGUAAAGAGCGUGUAGGCGGCCAGGUAGGUCGGUUGUGAAAACUCGAGGCUCAACCUCGAGAGGUCAUCGGAAACCAUCUGGCUAGAGUCCGGAAGAGGAGAGUGGAAUUCCCGGUGUAGCGGUGAAAUGCGCAGAUAUCGGGAAGAACACCUAUGGCGAAGGCAGCUCUCUGGGACGGUACUGACGCUGAGACGCGAAAGCGUGGGGAGCGAACAGG